rnacentral:rRNA from 1 species
CUCGUAGGCGGCCAACUAAGUCAGACGUGAAAUCCCUCAGCUUAACUGGGGAACUGCGUCUGAUACUGGAUGGCUUGGAUUCGGGAGAGGAAUGCGGAAUUCCAGGUGUAGCGGUGAAAUGCGUAGAUAUCUGGAGGAACACCGGUGGCGAAGGCGGCAUUCUGGACCGAUAUUGACGCUGAGGAGCGAAAGCCAGGGGAGACGAAC